GGGGCUUAAGUCGUAACAAGGUAGCCGUAGGGGAAUCUGCGGCUGGAUCACCUCCA
rfam:Halorubrum saccharovorum strain H3 NODE_144, whole genome shotgun sequence.